rnacentral:rRNA from 1 species
UACGGAGGGAGCUAGCGUUGUUCGGAAUUACUGGGCGUAAAGGGCGCGUAGGCGGACAGUUAAGUCAGAGGUGAAAGCCCAGGGCUCAACCCUGGAAUAGCCUUUGAUACUGGCUGUCUUGAGUGCGGGAGAGGUGUGUGGAACUCCGAGUGUAGAGGUGAAAUUCGUAGAUAUUCGGAAGAACACCAGUGGCGAAGGCGACACACUGGCCCGUAACUGACGCUGAGGCGCGAAAGCGUGGGGAGCAAACAGG